AUAGAGACUCAGAGCUGCAUAUCAAUAAGCGGAGGAAAAGAGACUAACAAGGAUUCCCUUAGUAACGGCGAGUGAAGCGGGAAGAGCUCAAAUUUGAAAUCUUCAAGGUUCUACCUUGACGAAUUGUAGUUUAAAGAAGUGUUUUCUGUUAGAUGAGUAGGCUAAAAGUUCUUUGGAAUGGGACAUCAUAGAGGGUGAGAAUCCCGUAUUUGGUUAUUCAUUCUAGCUUUGUGAUACACUUUCAAAGAGUCGGAUUGUUUAGGAAUGCAGUCCAAAAUGGGUGGUAAAUUUCAUCUAAAGCUAAAUAUUGGCGAGAGACCGAUAGCGAACAAGUACCGUGAGGGAAAGAUGAAAAGAACUUUGAAAAGAGAGUUAAACAGUACGUGAAAUUGUCAAAAGGGAAGCGUUUGACACCAGUGUUGUUUUUCCGAAAAUCAAUUACGAGUGGCUUGAUUUUGUGUUGUAUUGACCUUAUCAGCUUUCUUCACUUUUUUCGAGUCUUUCUUAAUGCACUUUUUGGUUAACAAGUCAACAUCAAUUUCUUUUGUUGUAAAAGAGUAUUCGGAAGGUGGCUUUCUUUUCGGAGAAAGUGUUUACUAGCCCUAUACUUCUACAAUUGGAGAGAUUGAGGUCUGCAGCGUAGAUCCUUCGGGGUUAGAUACAUUUGUGCUAAGUUGUAGCUUUUCAUAGACAACUUGUUGACUAUGUUUAGUCAUGCGGCUUACUCGCUUAUGCUAUUUUACCUACGCUAGGAUGUUGACGAUCAGCUGAGCGCG
rnacentral:rRNA from 1 species